rnacentral:lncRNA from 1 species
GUAUUUAAGAAAAUGGUAAAAUACACAUAACAUAAAAUUUACCAUUUUAACCAUUUUUAGUGUACAGUUCAGUGGCAUGAAGUACAUUCACGUUGUGUUCAUGCAGCCCAAACUUGAGAGCUCUUUUUGGAACACUCCAGGAAAGAAGGGCUGUGUACACACUAGGUGCUUAAUAAGUGCUUUCAGAUGACAGUGGGGUGGUGGGAUUAUCGGGGUGGUAGGCUACAUUAUCAUGGAUUAAGUAAGCAUUCCCACUCUGUACUUUCUUAGGCAACUUAACUUCAGUCUGUAAUGCUGAGGCAGACACUAGUGAGCUACGUUUAACACUUCAUUUCUAUUUCUGGGUGAAGCAGGAUGAUGAGUUCAUUGUCUGGUCAAUGCCAAGGGCAACUUCCCCUGCUUUCCUAGGCUCCCAUGGCAGAAUAGAGGAUAUCUGUGAAAAAUCCAAAUUUUCCUCCUAUGUGUGUGUCGGGUAAGGGCAGCCCACAGUUAUGACUGGGGCUCCAGUUUCAAAUGCCGCUGACUCAAGACCGAUCUGGUUGAGAACCAAACAAAUGGGCCUUUUUAUACUGAAGAGGAGAUUUUUCUUACCACGUGUCAACAAAAGAUCUGUAGACAAUCUUGUUAUACAUUUCACACUGCUGACUUCAUAAGUACAACAGCACUCACGACCCCUUUACAUUUUUUGGUGUAUUUGGGUUUAUUUCUGUGGUUACCAUGCACUGAGGGAAGUCCACAAAAGCCAGCCUGUUCAGGGCUGGAGCACGGUGCCAGUGGAAUUUUGGUGAACUUCACAGCGGUAGAAGGGAGUGGACUGGGAGGUGCAGAAGUAGUGAAUUUUGCAGCCGGAAGGAAUCUUAUAUAGACUAAAUCCCCCCUUAUUUAUAGAUGAGGAUAUCAAGACCCAGCAACAGGGGGUGGUUCUGACCUGAGGUCACAUCGCUGGUUAGGAUCUCAGCCCAUCACUGACUUCCUGGUCUCCAGACCCAUUGACUUGCCACUGCUCGGAUCUUCCCAGUCGUUGAACCCCGAGUUCCGUUGAACUAGAUGCCUUGUAAUAUAAUACACCUAACGAUAAGUUUUCCUGAAUUGAAUAUUCUUCCGAAAAUCAUUUAUAGAUUUGGUGACUUCUCCAUUUUUCUUUUCCUGCAUUUGGGUAGAAUCAAUCUUUGGCUCUGAGCAGAUCUUUCUGUUUGAGUGUCUUUCCUAAGAUCUUUAUCUUUCUGGUUGCAUUUUCAGAACCCCCUGCCUCUAUUGUGAUGAGAGCGCUGGGUCCGUUGGCUGUCUCUCUGGGAUGACAGCACGAGUUGAAAAGUGGAGAAUUGAGUCAUCGGCUUUCUGGCGUGGUUUAUUCUGUCCCAGAAUCCCUAAGUCCUGUCUGAUACUAUUUAGUCACUGUCCUUGCAGUGUGAAAAGUGAUUCACAUGUAAGCCAUGGAAAGCGCUCAGCAAGCUCUCUGAGACAGGAAUUCUUGAGGAGGCAAAAGCCAACAGUGUUAAUUGGAGAUAGAGAGAUAGGAAUUCUUGAGGAGGCUGUGAAAAGCCAACAGUGUUAAUUGGAGAUAGACUGCCAUGUGAGAGCCAAACCCCUCAUGUUCUCAGGUAAAAGCUAGGAAAAUGUUAGGCUCUUGUGACAUGCAGUUGUCUCAGCUUCAAAGCUGGAUUAAUUAACUCACGUAAUGCAAAAUGUUUGUUGAGGGCCUAUUUUGGGCCUGGUCCUACUCAAAGUAGCAACAAAAAGCAACUUGAUGCUGUCUUUGACCAGAAGAAGCCAUGAGAAGGUGCCCAGGUACUUAUCAAAGGGCUUGGUUACAUGCCCCUGUUUCCUUGUUACCCUUAAGCAAUGAGAGAGAGAUGCUUGAAGAAGAGCAGAAGCUCUGCUUGCUCUUUAAGCUUGGCGAGGGUUGGGUCUGUUUCCCCUCCUCCAUUCCUGGGCUCCUAGUACCAUGUGGUUGCUCAGUGAAUAUCUGCUCUUUCUUUUUAGCCUUCAUGUGGGAGGCAGUUGUUGUGUAGAGGGAAUAAGACUAGACUUGGGUCCAAUUUACCUGGGUUGAAGUCUUUGCCCCACCACUUUGCUCUUGUCCCUGGACAAGUCACUUGAUGUUGCCCAGCCUCCAUUUUUGUUGCAUCAAUAGAGUGGAGAUGCCAGCGAUUGAUCUUGUGACCUUGGGGGCAUCACUUAACCUCCCUGACCUUGGAUUUCUCAUCUUUAAAAUGAGGGACACUGAAGAUGAGUGUGGAGCACAUGUCGGAACAGACAAUGAAACAGGCAUUCGUUAUUAUCAUUCCCAUGUCAGAAAUGGGCUACUAUCUUACUGUUUUAUCUCAAAUGUAAUUUCAAGAGAAUGAUACAUGGUAACGUGGGUAACUUUCAUUUGUCAAUGUGUGGAUGCGCCGCCCCUCUCCCCGGGGUGUAUUCCUCAGCAGCCCGGCAGGGGAGGGCACAUCCACACAUUGCCUGCUUUAAAUCUGUUGCCCGCUCUAAUUGUGUAGACCCACUACACCCAACCAGCUUGUAUCCCACAGAUGGAAGGUAAUUUGAAUAACUGUUUAAGCCAAAAUGUAAUUGGAGAUAAAAGCUAAAUGUCUAAGGUCUAGCAGUAUCAAGAUGACCAGAAGUGAUGCAUUGGAUCCUCUGCUGCUUCUGAAUCAUCUGGGUUAAUUACCGUACUCUCCACCAGCUUUGGUCAUCAAGGAGCACACAGAAUCAUUGCUUAUAAUUGAAGACUGUGGACAAUGAUCACAUAAGAUCAUCCCUAAGUUACCAGUCCCUUUUAUUCUAAUGGACAUUUGAAGAAAAAGGCCUGAACUUUCAAUAAAAGCGUCGUCUUUUUGCUUUCAAGGCCCUUCAGCUAGUUCAUUAGGGGAUUGAAGCCAGACAUCAUUUGUGACUUUCCCCCUACAUUUGGGGAAUGGGGGAUAGAAUAUCUUUUGUGGUUUUUGUUUACAAGAAGGAAGAUUUCAGGCUUGAGCUGGAGUACGAAAGGAAAUUGAAACUAAAGAUUGGGUUCUGGAUUUGACUAAAGUUUCUAAUAUUGUUCAGCCACAAUAAAGCCAAAAGCGUUCACUGUAUGCUCUGGCUGAUAUAGUAAAGCAUGGGCAUUUAAGAAAAGGGUUAAUUAGGUCAAUUAGAUUAGAUGUUAGGCUGCCUGUUUCUAAAUACCAUGGGAUGUAAUUUAUUUCAGUGGAGCUUUAAGCCCUCAUGCAUGGUAGACAUGUCGAUUAUGGAUAAAUUAAAGGCAAAAUAAAUGAAUAUUCAGUAUGUCAGACACAAUCAGAGAAUGGUAGAAAAAUAUGUAACUUAACUUUCAACCUCUAUAACAGCUAGGAUUGUGCCCCAUGCAAAGCUUCCUGGAAGUUUGGGAGCCCAAUUUUUUCUCUCUACUUGUUGUAAUUUACUUCUAGGAUAUAGCUGGGCCAGGAGGAUUUUGUCAAGAAAUGGGUGCUCAGUCUUCUGAGGCUCCAUACUUCAGUUGGAAGGAAGGGGAAUUUUCAUAUUUCUUGUUUUCUUUUUUUGUAGAGACGGGGUUUCAAGUCCAGGCUGGUCUUGAACUCCUGGCCUCAAGCAAUCCUCCUGCCUUGGCUUCCCAAAGUGCUGGGAUUAAAAGCAUGAGCCACUGCACCUAGCCUGGGUUUUCAUAUUUCUUAUAAUUGUCUCAGAACUUUCAGUUCCAAUACACUCAUCGUGAAAAGCAAGUGAAGCCUUGAAUAUUGAUGUUUAUUGAGAUCAGGACAAAGUGAAAGGCAAAAAUCUGAGUGCCUUUUCUGCCUUUUCUGGUGUUUUUCUGGCCCUCCUGUUCUGUCCUGAUUUCUGUCCCUGAACUCCUGACCUUGGACAUGCAGGAGCUACUUCUCCCAUCAGCCUUUUCUGAGUAGAACCUCUGAUAAAUGGAUGCUUCUUGCAUCCUUAUCCUUGAGGACUUUGGACUCUGAUCCCAAGGGUGUUGGCCUUCAUUAGCUUCAGGGUGUUGACUUGCAUUAGCUUCUGCUGGGGGAACAACCUCAAGCUUGGCCAGGUGGCAGAUAUCUGGAAGUCUUCAUGACAUACUAAUAUUUGUUGAGAUAUUAGUACUAUCUAUGUUUAUAUAUGUAUAUCUGUGUUUAUGAUUCAAGCACAGCUGUGUCAACUGUUUAACAAAGUUUUAUGGGAGAAAGCUUGAUAAUUGAGGAAAAUUUAUCCCUAUUUAUUUAUUUGAACCACAACUUCUUGUAGUUUUUCAGACUUUGAGAAAGCUGGUUAUGAUUUGAUGUAGUGGCCAAACAUUGUCGAGUGACUGGAAACCGUUGAUUUAAAGGAACACUGCCUGGGAUUUCUGGCCUCAGUGAGGGCUGAGGCAGUUAUUUGGUGGGCAGGAGGGUGGGGAGGGUCUUUCUGGGUACUGCUGAAGACCCACUACCUCUGUCUAACCUGACAGAGACUUCCCCAGCUGUUCAUGACAUCCAGGGCAGUGACCUUGGCUGUGUGAGGAGUGGCUCGGGCACAGGUGGUCUCAAAGGGCCUGUUACCCUGGAGCUGCCUCCCUGCAUCUUAGCAAGCCUCAGAAGGCACAGGGCAUUUUGAUGCUGUGGCACUUUGCCAUUUGAAUUUGAGGAGAUUUGUCUUGGCUUGGAAAACAAAGCAUUCAACUUGUAGCAAACUAAAAGAAAAAGGAAGAGAAGUUGAGAACAAACACUCCAUCCAGGAGUUUGGGCUUUGAGAUGGGGAUGGGGAUGGGACGGAGGGAGGUGGAAAGGAAGUAAGGGAUGCACUACGUCAUUAUCGUCAGCAUCAUCAUUCUAUCCUUAUUUCAUCCAGUCUAAGAAGACUAUGGUUGUAGGAUGCAUCCUUAUUUGCGAGAAAUUGAAAUAUGGAAAUGUGCGCCUGAGAGUUGUGGCAGCCAAUGCACUCAGUGCUUUCCGCUCAUGUCCUCCUCUUAAUAACUUUAUCAGGCAGGUUCUCUCAUUAUUUCCAUCUUAUUGGUGAGCAAACUGAGAUGCAGGGGGUUAAGAAGCUUGCAGAAGAUCACUCUGCUGGCCAGUGGAGGGGCCAGGAUUUGAGGCAGGAAUUCUAACACCCUUAGAGCCUACCCUUGGCUACAGUGCUCUGCUCCUGAGCAAUGAAAUCAGCGUUGGGGUAGUCAUGUGUGUGUGCGUGUGUUUGUGCUUGAAGACUUUGAUGUCAGCAUUUUGACCAGAUGUGUCAGACAGAUAUGUUGCCCCUGCCCCAUCACCUUUACUGAGUUACUUAAACCCCAGGCCCCUGUUUUCAUGUUAUUAUCUUUACUAAGGGAUGCAACUGGAGUUUAAGUUCUUUCUGUGCAUUUCACGUCCCCUCUGCACGCCCUUCUCAUGGGGCCAAUCACUGUUGGGAACACUCAGAGAUAAUAAACAUUUCCCUGCUGUAUCAUCCUAGAGGAUCUGUCAUUUAUUAACUGUGUACCGUUGGCAAGAACCUCUCUGCACUUGUUUCCUCAUCUGUAUGAUAGAAAUAAUACAUCUCGGGAUGGUAGUGAGGAAGGGAGGGUUAUAUAAAAUGACUUCCACUGAAGUGCCUGCCUGGCAUUCAGCAUUGUAUAGAGCCGGAACUCCAAAUGUCUUCUGCUUGUACCUGUUUUCCUUCUCCCCAAGUCACCCAGCUCACAGGUGGCCGCAAGCUCUGAACUGGAACUGUUUCUAACACAUCUGGCUGCUUCCCCUAGAGACAGACAUGCAAAUAGCUUCAUAUCCUCUUGUAGCUGUAACCAUUUGCAGACACCUUAUUGUCUUACAGCUUUUUAAUUUGCCUGCACAAAUAGACCUGCCUGGCCAACUUGGAGGGAAUUUUAAUAUCUAAGUGCGGCCACAUACAUAUGUGUUGUAUACUGGGGCCAUGCCUUCCUGCUUAUCAAGGCAACAGAAAUCUUGUACAUGGUUUUCUUACUUUCUGGAUAAAGAUGGGACCUUGUCUCUCCAUUUUGUCAUAACACUUUUUUAUCUUUACUUUAAGAUGAAACCCUCCUUAAAAUUGUGAGUGUUUCCCUGGAUUUCCCUGGGGAGAAACCACUACAGUGGCUUUGAUUCUUUUUCCCCUCCUUGGGAUCAUUCUGAUCCCAUUCCAUAUCUUUGGAGGGUCUAUGGAAUGGGGCUCAGCUUUGCAUCUUGGAUUCACAAGAAGGGAAGCAGGGAGUGAGGGAGAUUGGGGGACCGUGGGCGUGUUUCAUCAGAUGCAGCUCCAAUGGCCUUUUCCCUCUGACCAUAUUUCAACAACCACACUUGACACACAGCCUAGCCUCCCCCAAAGCUCACGUGUGCACCCUCUGCCCCUGUCUGGGGCCUCCCCUAUUCAUUUUCAGAUCGAUUCUGACACCUGCUUUUAUCUCCCUUACCCCUUCAGCACUUCUUGAUGGCAGCAACUUAAGUUAUACUUAAGCAUCCUAUAUUCCUAAAAUAUGCAGAAAUUAAACAAAUGCCUUGUGCUCUCAGUUUUCAAAGAUCUCUCUCUUUUUUUUGAGGAUGGAGUCUCACUCUGUCGCCCAGGCUGGAGUGUAGUGGCGAGAUCUCAGCUCACUGCAACCUCUGCCUCCUGGGUUCAAGCAAGUCUCCUGCCUCAGCCUUCUGAGUAGCUGGGAUUACAGGCACCUGCCACCACACCCAGCUAAUUUUUGUAUUUUUAGUAGAGAUGGGGUUUCACCAUGUUAACCGGGCUGGUCCCAAACUCCCGACCUCAAGUGAUCCGCCCUCCUCGGCCUCCCAAAGUGCUGGGAUUACAGGCGUGAGCCACCGCACCCCGUCCAAAGAUCCCUUGAGUAAAAAUAUUCACAUCAGUGGCUGCAGAUAGAUAAUUGUUUGGUUUUUGUUGGGGAAAUUCCAACUCUUUGUUUAGAACUUGCCUGAUUUUCAGUAGCAUCUCUAACACUUAGAGUUGAUUUGGAUCUGGCAUUAUGUUGAGUCAUCAUUUUUAGUGGGAAGAAUACUAUACAAUGUGAAAGAAAGUGUAAAAAGUACUCUAUUUUAACAAAGUUGUUUUCUUUCUCUUUCUUCUUUUUUUUUUUUUUUCACAGCGUCUUACUCUGUCACCCAGGGUGGAGUGCAGUGGUAGAAUCUACGCUCACUGCAACCUCUGCCUCCCGGGUUCAAGCGCUUCUUAUGCCUCAGCCUCCCCAGUAGCUGGGACUACGGGUAUAUGCCACCAUGCCUGGCUAAUUUUUGUAUUUUUAGUAGAGAUGGGGUUUUACCACGUUAGCCAGACUGGUCUUGAACUCCUGACCUCAGCUGAUCCCCCUUCCUCAGCCUCCCAAAGUGCUGGGAUUACAGGCGUGAGCCACCAUGCCCUGCCUGUUUUCACUUUCAUAUGCUGUCUUUUAUAUGUGUAUGUGUGUUUACACAACCAAGGUCCCGACCCACAUAAUAUUUUGAAUUCUGUUGCUUUAACUUAAAGCAGCGGUUUAAGUGGUUAAUUUAAACUCCAUUUUCAUGUCUUCAUGUUAUUUUAAUAACAGUAGCAUUUUUUGAUUGGUCCAAGAUUAUAGGAAUAAUUUCAUAAAUGAUAGUUCAUAUCCUAGAGUGUUUCCAAUUUUUGGCCACUAGAAGGGAAAUUCUAUAGCAAACAUCUUUGCGCGUCCAUCUUUUAGUUUCUGUUGAAUUAAUCCCUCGGUGUAAUUUCCCAAGAGGGAAAUUGCUGGAUUUGAAGGGUGUAAACAUCAUCAUGGCUCCAGUAAUGCAGUGCACGUGGGGAGAUUUUUAAAAUCAGUGUUCUCUCUGUUGGCAUCUUGUGCCAGAAAAAUGUCAGAAGAAAAUAAUGCGAAUGAACAAUUAAAAAGCUAAUCCCCUCUUUAACUCUUAAAAAUAUGGAAAUGAAAUAGGGGUUUUGGUCCAUGGAUGCUGCCUGGGAAGCCCCAGCUCUGUUACUGCAGGCAUGCCUUUCCUUGGGGGAGAGAUCGUCUUUCCAGCUAUCUUUGCUUCUGGAGAAAAGAUGCUCACAGUACUUGUUCAACAGCCGCACUUCAGCCUCCUGCACUUGCCUCGUACUCACCUUCAGCAAUGCCAAAGCGCUUAGGCCUCCAGCAUACAUCAUCAACGCCUUCUGUCUGUUAACUGUGCAACAGCUCCUCUCUGAUUUGUGAAAUAAUUGUGUGUCCACUGAUUAAUGUGUAUGUUUUAAAACAGUGAGAUUUGGGUUGGAAUAGAAGAGGGUUUUGAGAUACUCUCAAAUAAUUAGAAAGACAAGGGAGUGGACAAUUAGAAAUGGGAACUAAUUAUGGCUUAUUGAGCACUUACCUUGGGCCAGGCCCUGCUCGAAACACGUGACAUGGAUGAACUUAUUCAGUCCCCACAACAACUCUACUAGGUAGGCAAAUUGUUCUCCCCAUUUUAUAGGUGAGAUAACUGAGGCCAAGAGAUUGAGUAUAUUGUCAAGGACACACAAGAUGGGAACCCAUGUGUAUCAGUUUGCUAGGGCUGCCAUGACAAAUUCCCACACACUGGGUGGCUUUAAACCACAGAAAUUUGUUCUCCCAUGGUUCUAAAGGGAGACCAGAGGUCCAAAAUCAAGGUGUCAGCAGGGCCGUGUUCCCUCUGAAGGCCCUAGGGAAGAAUCCCUCCUUGCCUCUUCCUGGCUUCUGGUGGCUCCCAGCAAUCCUAGGCAUGUCCUGGCCUGUAGCUGCAUCACUUGAAUCUCUGCCUCUGUCUUCCAUGGCCCUCUUCCCUGUGUGUGUCUCUGUGGGUCCCCUCCUCUUCUCAUAAGGACACUAGUCUGACCUCACUUAAUUUAACUCAUUAUAUCUGCAAAGACUCUAUUUCCGGAGGUCACCUUCUGAGGUUCCCAGUGGAUAUGUAUUUGGAAGGGACACUGUGCAAUCCACUAUAUCACGGUCAUAGCACGUCACAGUGGAUUGUACACUGCAAUCCAUGGUUGCAGGUCCCUAGUGGAUAUGAAUUUUGGAGGGACACUGUGCAGUCCACUGUACCAUGGUCAUAGCCAGGACCUGUUCCUGCCUUCUAGGACAAGAGUGGAGAAAAGGGAAAGAAAGCAGAAGCCUGGGUAGGCUCAGGGUUUGCCCAGGUGCUCUUGAGAUGGACAAAGAAUGGGCGAAAAUCCCUUGGGCUUUUAAAAGGUUGUGUGGCCGGGAGGGACUGGAGCCCUGGGCGAGAUGCCUGCCUGAGUGAGGUGGGGUUGCUGGGCACAGUCAGACUGUGUGAAGACUGUGUGAGUGUGAGAUUAUCCUGGGCAGAACUAAACAGCUUUCUGGACUCAAGGGGAGGAGGCAGGUUUGGAGUUAAUGCCCCGCCAUGCUUGAGUAGCUUAAAUAAAGGUUACCUGGACUAUUUCCUUUCUCCAGCAGCUACGUUACUCUGUCUCUGAAGCCAUGGGGGAACCCCAGAGGCAGACAUCAGCGUGUCCAGGUUGUAAAAUCAGACUUGGAGCGCCAGGCAGGGAAGAAAGCACUUCGGCAUGUUUUCUGCCUCACUGCAAAAUAAAUGUAUAAGCAUUCCAGGGAAACUGCAGGGAGAGGGGAACAUUCUUCAGCAGGCAAGGAAGGAUAAAUGCAAAGUAAACGUAUAAGGCUUAUAAUUACUCAUUUGAAGUGUGUAAAAUGUAAUUAAUAUGAUCUGUGUUGCAGUGCUGUCUCUCUUGUUUUAUUUAAGUGAACAUAAAAUGUAAUUUAUGAGGACUUCCCCAGGUUAACUGCCAAUAUCAAUUCCUUGAACUGCGUUUUUUCCACAGCGUCUUAAGUUUCUCAGCAAUAAAGUUCUUCUACUACUGUGGGGGUUUUCAGGGACAAUUUAUGCUGAGGUUUGGGGUAGGGGCUGGUUCUCCUUUACCCCAGACACUCACACCCUCCGCCCCUUAGGCCAGCCUGAAGAUGCCAAUUCCUAUCAGUUAUCUUCUCUGUUAAUGUGAGGUCUUUUUCAUGUCACUGUGAUGACAGUGGUAUACAGAAAAGGCUUCUAAUAAAAUUAAACUCACAAAUCUAGGAAGCUACCUUUAAAUUUCGAAUCUUACUCUUCUAUUCAUAAGCCUUCAACAGAUACAUUUAGGGUGGCCUUUAAUUAAUAUUUGGUCCUUUAACACACUUAAUCUUCUGAUAACAAUUUAAAUUGCAUCUAAAAUGUCAUCUAUUUACAGUUAUUUUUGAAUACUUCAUUUGCCCAAUUAAUGAACAAGCAUUUAUUUAUUCAUUUGUUUAUUUAUUUUGAGAUAGGGUCUCAAGCGGUUGCCCAGACUAGAGUGCAGUGGCAGGAUCAUGGCUCACUGCAGCCUCAACCUCCUGGGCUCAAGCUGUCCUCCCACUUCAGCCUCCCCAGUGGCUGGGACUACAGGCGUGCACCACCACACCUUGGUGGUGUUUGUAUUUUUUGUAGAGAUGGGGUUUUGUCCUGUUGCCCAGGCAGGUCUCGAACACCUGGGCUCAAGCAAUCCACCCGCCUUAGCCUUCCAAAGUGCUGGGAUUACAUGUGUUCACCAUCCUGCCCGGCUCAAGUAUUUACAUAAUAGAAAUCUAAUGCCUCAA